rnacentral:rRNA from 1 species
GGUGAGCGAAUCCCAAAAUAACGUCCCAGUUCGGAUUGUAGUCUGCAACCCGACUACAUGAAGCUGGAAUCGCUAGUAAUCGCGAAUCAGAAUGUCGCGGUGAAUAUGUUCCCGGGUCUUGUACACACCGCCCGUCAAGCCAUGGGAGCCGGGGGCGCCUGAAGUCCGGGACCGCGAGGACCGGCCUAGGGCGAAACUGGUAACUGGGGCUAAGUCGUAACAAGGUAGC